UGCAAGUCCGAACGGCAGCACGGGAAGCAAUCCUGGUGGCGAGUGGCGAACGGGUGAGUAAUAUAUCGGAACGUGCCCAGUAGUGGGGGAUAACUGCUCGAAAGAGCAGCUAAUACCGCAUACGACCUGAGGGUGAAAGGGGGGGAUCGCAAGACCUCUCGCUAUUGGAGCGGCCGAUAUCAGAUUAGCUAGUUGGUGGGGUAAAGGCCUACCAAGGCAACGAUCUGUAGUUGGUCUGAGAGGACGACCAGCCACACUGGGACUGAGACACGGCCCAGACUCCUACGGGAGGCAGCAGUGGGGAAUUUUGGACAAUGGGCGCAAGCCUGAUCCAGCAAUGCCGCGUGCAGGAAGAAGGCCUUCGGGUUGUAAACUGCUUUUGUCAGGGAAGAAAUCCUCUAGGUUAAUACCCUUGGGGGGAUGACGGUACCUGAAGAAUAAGCACCGGCUAACUACGUGCCAGCAGCCGCGGUAAUACGUAGGGUGCAAGCGUUAAUCGGAAUUACUGGGCGUAAAGCGUGCGCAGGCGGCUUUGCAAGACAGAUGUGAAAUCCCCGGGCUCAACCUGGGAACUGCAUUUGUGACUGCAAGGCUAGAGUACGGUAGAGGGGGAUGGAAUUCCGCGUGUAGCAGUGAAAUGCGUAGAUAUGCGGAGGAACACCAAUGGCGAAGGCAAUCCCCUGGACCUGUACUGACGCUCAUGCACGAAAGUGUGGGGAGCAAACAGGAUUAGAUACCCUGGUAGUCCACGCCCUAAACGAUGUCCAC
rnacentral:rRNA from 1 species